CCUACGGGGGGCAGCAGUGGGGAAUAUUGGACAAUGGGGGGAACCCUGAUCCAGCCAUGCCGCGUGUGUGAAGAAGGCCCUCGGGUUGGAAAGCACUUUCAGUGAGGAAGAACGCCUGGUGGUUAAUACCCAUCAGGAAAGACAUCACUCACAGAAGAAGCACCGGCUAACUCCGUGCCAGCAGCCGCGGUAAUACGGAGGGUGCGAGCGUUAAUCGGAAUUACUGGGCGUAAAGCGCGCGUAGGUGGCUUGAUAAGCCGGUUGUGAAAGCCCCGGGCUCAACCUGGGAACGGCAUCCGGAACUGUCAAGCUAGAGUGCAGGAGAGGAAGGUAGAAUUCCCGGUGUAGCGGUGAAAUGCGUAGAGAUCGGGAGGAAUACCAGUGGCGAAGGCGGCCUUCUGGACUGACACUGACACUGAGGUGCGAAAGCGUGGGUAGCAAACAGGAUUAGAUACCCCUGUAGUC
rnacentral:rRNA from 1 species